rnacentral:rRNA from 1 species
GAUGAACGCUGGCGGCGUGCCUAAUACAUGCAAGUCGAGCGAACGGACGAGAAGCUUGCUUCUCUGAUGUUAGCGGCGGACGGGUGAGUAACACGUGGAUAACCUACCUAUAAGACUGGGAUAACUUCGGGAAACCGUAGCUAAUACCGGAUAAUAUUUUGAACCGCAUGGUUCAAAAGUGAAAGACGGUCUUGCUGUCACUUAUAGAUGGAUCCGCGCUGCAUUAGCUAGUUGGUAAGGUAACGGCUUACCAAGGCAACGAUGCAUAGCCGACCUGAGAGGGUGAUCGGCCACCCUGGAACUGAGACACGGUCCAGACUCCUACGGGAGGCAGCAGUAGGGAAUGUUCCGCAAUGGGCGAAAGCCUGACGGAGCAACGCCGCGUGAGUGAUGGAGGUCUUCGGAUCGUAAAACUCUGUUAUUAGGGAAGAACAUAUGUGUAAGUAACUGUGCACAUCUUGACGGUACCUAAUCAGAAAGCCACGGCUAACUACGUG